rfam:Aspergillus rambellii strain SRRC1468 contig00545, whole genome shotgun sequence.
GGGGUUGUGGUUUAGUGGUAUAACAUUCCGUUUGCAUCGGAAAGGUCCGGGUUUCGAUUACCCGCGACUCCA